UAGUUGUGUUCUUGAAACUUAAAGAAUUUGGCGGUAUCCUACUCCGUUCAGAGGAAUCUGUCUCGUUAUCGAUAGUCCGCGUUGGACCUUGCUUAGGGUUAAUUUUGGUUUGUAUACCGCCGUUUAUUGAUUAUCUUUUUAGAGUAUCUUGAAUUUUCUGGUUUCUUUAAUUUGAUUUAUUGCAGGUCAAGGUGCAGCUUUUUCUAAGUGUAAUGAUGGAUUACAGUGGUAUGUGUUGUUUGGAUUGUUUGUUUAAAUAUGGGCAUGAAAUUGGAUUUGGUUGUAAUGUUUUGUAGAUUGUUUUCAUGAUAGUUGGUUCUAGGAUAUGUACACAUCGCCCGUCGCUCUCAUUUAAGUUUUUGAUGAGAUAAGUCGUAACAUAGUAACGAGGUUCCUUUGAUCCUGUCCUUGAUGACUCUCUAUGUCCGGGACCGUCGAUAUGGUGACAUAGUAUUUUGAGGUUUCGAACUUCCUCAGAGCAAUAUCAAUCGUAAUACCUU
rnacentral:rRNA from 1 species